AUGAAGAUAGCGAGAGAUUAUCUUCCAUAAAUGGAAGAUAGCCGAAGGGGAAAUACAAAGGCCCGCCAAGCCUUUGUAGAAGCUCUCAGGCGGCAGGAUCGCUAUCGGAUA
rnacentral:ncRNA from 2 species